rnacentral:lncRNA from 1 species
AUUUAUAUAGAUAUAAUUAUAAAUUCUAAGAGCCUGUAUGCUAAAAGUGGUAUAUAGGAAUUAUAUUAAAGAGAUGAGUAGAUGAUAAUUCUUGUACAUUUAAACAUUUCGUGUAUUGUGAUCACGAGUUCUUGUUUAAUAACUAUGAGAAGGUACCACGUCUCGAAAGUAGAUCUAAUUCACGAAAGCGAGGGGAUAAUGCAGCUGCAAAUUGAUUAUAAAACUUCGUGUUCAUGGUAUUUGCAAAUAAUAGUAAAUCAUUGAUUGCAAGACAAAUGUAUUUUUUCACUAACAUGUCGGUUAUUAAAUUAGAUUUGAGAUAACGGAUUGAUAUAAUAUUGAAGUUGUAAAAGAAUCAUAAAAUCAGUCUACCCUAGCCUUAUGUCAAGUAAACUUUACAGACAGUAAUUGCUUUGUAUUUCAAAUCUGUUCAUGUCACAUUACCGGUCAGAUAAACUAAAAAGGCUGGUUUCCUACCUUGCAACAUACAGGCGAAUUGUGUAAAAA